rnacentral:rRNA from 1 species
UACGAAGGGGCUAGCGUUGCUCGGAAUCACUGGGCGUAAAGGGUGCGUAGGCGGGUCUUUUAAGUCAGGGGUGAAAUCCUGGAGCUCAACUCCAGAACUGCCUUUGAUACUGAAGAUCUUGAGUUCGGGAGAGGUGAGUGGAACUGCGAAGUGUAGAGGUGAAAUUGUAGAUAUUCGCAAGAACACCAGUGGCGAAGGCGGCUCACUGGCCCGAUACUGACGCUGAGGCACGAAAGCGUGGG